UGAUUCUCCACUUUCAAUGAAAAGGAAACAAAACCUUCCAGUCGGAUGCGCAGCACGAAGUAACCGGACCCAGGCAAGAACAUUACCAAACAGAAGGAAGCAUAAUCAUAGCGAGUAAAUACUAUCAGAAAUUUUGAAACAAAAAUAGCAUAAGAAGCAAGAAAAGCCUCAUUCAAUUUCCGGUGAAAAGCGGAAGCUAUAAAAGCUUCUCCGCCUGUGUGCCUGAGCUGUUGUACGAAAUUCCACUCGCCCGAGAAAAAGAAACGAAUCAAACGGAGAAAAAGUAGCAACCUACAACUGGUUAGCGUAAGUGAGGCGGUGUGUGUGUGUGUGUGGAAAGUGCUUUUCGUUGACCAGCGGCAAGCGGCAAGAGAACUAACUACGAGGAGCUUCGACGAUAUUUUGAACUCGACCAAAUGUUGGCCUUUCAUAACGAACAUAUAACAAGCUGUGCGUUUUUGACGUAUUUCGGUCCGGAAAGCGCUAUUAACGCUCAAGGCGCGUUACAUGAAAAGCAGACUUCACCUGGGGUUUAUCUCAACCGAUUUCUUCUCUCACGCGAUGCAGAAGAGACCGUCUCUUCUACUAGCAAAAU